UACAGAGUUUACAACUCCCAAACCCUUAUGUGAACAUACCAAGAUGUUGCUUCGGCGGACUCGCCCCGGCGUCCGGACGGCCUAGCGCCGCCCGCGGCCCGGACUCAGGCGGCCGCCGGAGACCACCAAACUCUUUUGUAUCAUGAGUAUCUUCUGAAUCCGCCGCAAGGCAAAACAAAUGAAUCAAAACUUUCAACAACGGAUCUCUUGGUUCUGGCAUCGAUGAAGAACGCAGCGAAAUGCGAUAAGUAAUGUGAAUUGCAGAAUUCAGUGAAUCAUCGAAUCUUUGAACGCACAUUGCGCCCGCCAGCAUUCUGGCGGGCAUGCCUGUUCGAGCGUCAUUUCAACCCUCGACUUCCCUUUGGGGAAAUCGGCGUUGGGGACCGGCAGCAUACCGCCGGCCCCGAAAUGGAGUGGCGGCCCGUCCGCGGCGACCUCUGCGUAGUAAUCCAACCUCGCACCGGAACCCCGACGUGGCCACGCCGUAAAACACCCCACUUUCUGAACGUUGACCUCGGAUCAGGUAGGAAUACCCGCUGAACUUAAGCAUAUCAAUAAGCGGAGGAAAAGAAACCAACAGGGAUUGCCCCAGUAACGGCGAGUGAAGCGGCAACAGCUCAAAUUUGAAAUCUGGCCUUCGGGUCCGAGUUGUAAUUUGUAGAGGAUACUUUUGGCGAGGUGCCUUCCGAGUUCCCUGGAACGGGACGCCAUAGAGGGUGAGAGCCCCGUCUGGUCGGAUACCAAGCCUCUGUAAAGUUCCUUCGACGAGUCGAGUAGUUUGGGAAUGCUGCUCAAAAUGGGAGGUAUAUGUCUUCUAAAGCUAAAUAUUGGCCAGAGACCGAUAGCGCACAAGUAGAGUGAUCGAAAGAUGAAAAGCACUUUGAAAAGAGGGUUAAAAAGUACGUGAAAUUGUUGAAAGG
rnacentral:rRNA from 1 species